rnacentral:tRNA from 1 species
GCAUCCAUCGCUGAAUGGUUAAAUGGCAAAUUUGUAGGUUCAAUUCCUGCUGGAUGCA